AUCUCUAUAUUAUCAUCAUUAUUUGGAUCACAUUUUAAAAUUAUUCCUUUUAAUUCAAAUAUUCUUUUAGCAAGAUUACGCAUCAAACUAAAAUGAAAUGCUGUCUUCUUAAAAAAACUAAAUUUAAAUAACAUGAAAUUAAAGCUACUGCUCUUGAUAAAAUAGAAUAAUUGAUUACAUUAAAAUUAAUUAACUCUCUAAGCUCUAUAGUGCACCUCGUGCUAAACUCAUGUUUUAGCACAUAUAUAUGUUUGAGUUAAUUUUGAGAAUUCAAAUACAACUUGCUAAAGAGUGAAUUCUUAUUAAUAUCCCAUAACUACAAAAAUUAGUGAUACAGUUCAAAUCAGAGUUCAAAUCUUAGAUAUUUUAAAGAUGAAAUUUUAAAGAUGUAUUUUAAUGAAAUAAAGCUGCAGGCUACACUUGUGUAACUUCAUGAAAUUCUUUGCAACAAGAAAACGCCUAAAUUAGGUACAAACACAUAGAUUAGCAGAUACAGCACAUUAGGAAGUAGCUGGUUUAAAUUCCCCAUCCAUAAUUAAUUUUGUCAUCACCGAGCUAAAUCGUCGGAUCAGUCGUACAAACAGUUUCGAAUUCGCAUUUCCUGAUCUGAACCAACCAAAACCUAGUAAUAGUUGGACAAAGAACCGGUACAACAAAGGCUCAACUCAGAAUCGAACUACUAUCCUCAAGUAACAUGAGCAGACCUGGCAAAGGAGUACAUUUCAAUGUCAUUACCGUCUGAUAAUCUACUUGAUACUAAAAAUUUCUUUUUUUUCUCAUAAAAUUAAAUAAAAAAUGUCGUAGAACUAAAACCAACGUACCCUAAAACGCUACAUUUACAUAAUUAAGAAAAGUAAUAUAACAAUUUAUUUUAACCAAUCCCUUAUUUUAAAUGAGUUUCUUGAGAAAAUGCUGUUAUGUAUCACUGACGCAAUCGCACCUCGUGCUCCUCUUGUACUUCGGCAGAUUUUGUAACUAGUGAUAUUACUGAAUAAUAAUGUUUCAUAUUUUAUUAAAUAUAAUUCUGCCAAAUAUUGCUUUAUCGUAAAAUGAAUUUUUCGUACUCAACAUAGGACUGAAGGUUAUAUCCACCCCAUUAUGAUGUACAUAAGUGACAUUAAAUGAAGUCCUGUGUUGAUUUUACCAGGUGGGAGCAAAGCCAAGGCAUAAAUUUAUUUUCCGCCCAAAAUAAAUAUAAGGCAUGUCAAGGACCUUGUCUGCUUCCAGGUUGGAGUUCACAACUUGGUCAUUCGGAGCCUUAGAUGCGUUCUAAACACUGCGUAAGAAACAAAAAAGGACAAAGCCAUUCACCAAUCCCUACAUAAUCAACAGAAGACACCGGCUGCCUUAGGGAAAGAGGUCAUAUUUCCUCCAGUGGAGGAGGCCACAGCCGCUACCCAAGAGGCUGCAAGCCGCUCUUCCACCGCGGUUGACUUUUAAGUAGCGGCGGAAAGAUAAGUUGCAGACAAAACAAGAUCCUAAAGCUGAAGUUUUCAACCAUCCGUCGUGCAGUCUGGAUUGGUCCCAGUGACUACCGCCUGUUCACGGUGAAGUGGCUCGCAAAUAAUCACACUGACGCAGAACUGCAUGCCUUUGCACUCGUACACCAGUGAUUCAAUUUGCAGUUUCCUGUUACCAAACUGACGAAGAGGACACUUAAAGUAUAUCAAAUACAAAACAUUACAACAUAAAAUGUUAUAAAAUUAAGAAAAAACACGAAAAAAUAUUAUUGAAAAGUAAAUCAAAAAGGAUGCCAUUGGAAUUCCAAAGCCCUUAUGUGAAAAGCCGAUGGGAAAUGUAACGAAAUCAACCAAAAAAUAAGAAUGAAUCAGCAGUCCAAACAAAGCUACACUGCUGACUGUAGGAAGACAACUAACGUAAUUCUCGACUCCUUUCUCAGAGGAACGAAGAAAAAAGAUGCAUAGUUCGUACAUUACUGGUUACUAUGUAAAAUUUCAACACUACCAAACAAUAAUGUUGUUCUACAUUGUUCCAAAACAUUCUUAAUUUGCAAUAACUAUUGUUUUUGUUUUAUGUUACUUUAAACAACUGAUAGCAAUUUUUCCUUAUUAUUAUAAUAUCAAAUAAUGUUUUAAUAGUUUAAAAGGGAUAAAUCACGAAGCGUUUUUAAAUUGAAGGCUUUGAAAUUUCUAAAUAUCAACCACAGCUAGGAUAGUAAGCCGUGGUGGUGAGUUAAAUAAAUCAAAAUGCUUCUGUUAUUGCAAGCGUGUUUACAUUUCUACAAUUGCUUUUCAAAUCAACUCUUGAUAAAUCAUACCAACUCUAUCACAAUGAAAUAGCAUACAUCUAAAUGAGUCGUGGUUUUAAUAACACUUUCAAUUAUCUUUUAAGCUGUUCCUCAAUGUUCUAAGAUCCAUUGCACUUUACCUAUCAAUAAAGGAAUCUAAUUUAAGGAGGGUAUCAAAGCCUUUAUGCAUUAAUAUAGGUUUUUUUGUGUUUCAAUAGAAAUAAUUCACAGCUGAAAUGUUUAAAAAUUAAGAAACAUUUUUCAAGUAAAUAAAAACAACAAUUAUAUUGUUUUAAUAUCAUUAAUGCUCGUAAUUUUUAAACGACAGAGAGUUAACAGGUUGAGUUAUAUCUCCAGUUUACCUUCAUUUGAUUGCAGCGCCUGAUAUCUGAACUUUAGGUCAGACUUAACUCCUGGAAUCUGUAGUCAUGGUCGUCUGAGUAGAUCCAAAGAACGUCGACGAUGAAGAAGCUCAAAAUGAUCCUUUACAUCGUUUCGACGUCAGAGACAGCUAGGUGAAGUGGCAGCCUCAUUAAGAUGUGACUCCGCCACUGGCUGAGAUGCAGCGAACACAAUCCGACGUAAGACCAUCGCGGUAUAUAAAUUACAGGCUCGUGCCGACCAUCAAUGACACUACUGAAUUUAUGACAUUUCAUGAAAUCGAGCGGCAGAUUAGCGAAAUAAAAAUGGGCCUCGCUGUAAACGACGAGGGGGCUUCAGAACCAGGAAGUCGAGACACACGUUGCAACAUGUGUCUUACGAUGAAGGCAAUCCGGAUGGCCACACCUUGUGGACACAAUGUAGUGUGCAGGCCGUGCGCCGUCUCUAUGACCGAGGAUGAAAUAUUUCAUCAGGUCACAAAUGGCGAUGGAACUAUUUUCACAACUACUCAUAUACACCUGCCACUAACAUGUCCUAUUUGUAGAGCAACUGUUGGUGCUUUUAUAAAACCAUUUUAAUUAUAUCUUUAACGUUUUAAAACAAUGUAACUGUAAAAUAUAUUGUUCUAUUAAAGGUGUCUAAAAUAAUGGUUUGUUUCUUUGCACAACUAGUUCGUAGUUAACCGUAUUACGAGUAUGUAUAUCUUAUAUUUAUUGCAGCGUUUUAAAUAUUUUUGGGCUAUCUAAUCCUAUAAUGUAUA